CCGACCUUAGCUCAGUUGGAAGAGCGCAAGACUGUAACGGAUAACUUUCUCAGGCAUCUUGAUGUCGCCUGUUCGAGCCAGGCAGGUCGGA
rnacentral:tRNA from 1 species